rnacentral:rRNA from 1 species
ACGGGUGAGAAACGCGUAGGAAUCUGCCUUGUAGAGGGGGACAACCCGAGGAAACUCGGGCUAAUACCGCAUAUACUCGAAAGAGGAAAGGCUGGGUCGAAAGACCUGGCGCUACAAGAGGAGCCUGCGUCCGAUUAGCUAGUUGGUGGGGUAAAGGCCUACCAAGGCGAUGAUCGGUAGCUGGUCUGAGAGGAUGAUCAGCCACACUGGGACUGAGACACGGCCCAGACUCCUACGGGAGGCAGCAGUGGGGAAUAUUGGACAAUGGGGGCAACCCUGAUCCAGCAAUGCCGCGUGUGUGAAGAAGGCCUUCGGGUUGUAAAGCACUUUAGGCUGGGAAGAAGGUAGCUAGUUUAAGAGAUGAGCUAUUUGACUGUACCAGCAGAAUAAGCACCGGCUAACUCUGCGCCAGCAGCCGCGGUAAUACAGAGGGUGCAAGCGUUAAUCGGAUUUACUGGGCGUAAAGGGCGCGUAGGCGGUUGUUUAAGUGAGAUGUGAAACCCCUGGGCUUAACCUAGGACGUGCAUCUGAUACUGAAUGACUAGAGUACUGUAGAGGGUAGUGGAAUUUCCGGUGU